CCUACGGGAGGCAGCAGUGAGGAAUAUUGGUCAAUGGACGAGAGUCUGAACCAGCCAAGUCGCGUGAAGGAUGACGGCCCUAUGGAUUGUAAACUUCUUUUAUAUGGGAAUAAAAUGUUGUACGUGUGGGAUUUUGUAUGUACCAUAUGAAUAAGGAUCGGCUAACUCCGUGCCAGCAGCCGCGGUAAUACGGAGGAUCCGAGCGUUAUCCGGAUUUAUUGGGUUUAAAGGGAGCGUAGGUGGAUUGUUAAGUCAGUUGUGAAAGUUUGUGGCUCAACCGUAGAAUUGCAGUUGAAACUGGCAGUCUUGAGUACAGUAGAGGUAGGCGGAAUUCGUGGUGUAGCGGUGAAAUGCUUAGAUAUCACGAAGAACCCCGAUGGCGAAGGCAGUUCACUGGACUGCAACUGACGCUGAGGCUCGAAAGUGUGGGGAUCAAACAGGAUUAGAUACCCGAGUAGUC
rnacentral:rRNA from 1 species